UUGUGCUUAUUAAAGGUACAGGUGCCUCUUUGAGAACCUCUGGUAUAUGAACUUCAAAAAAGAAUUGACAUAAUUCACAUUUACGAACAGUACAAUGUCUUAUGACAGCUUUUAACACUCCUAAAUCAUAAAAUGAACUUAAAUAAUAUUUAUGUCAGGAUUAUGGACUUGUUUUGGCCACUAGAGACCCUCAUCAUGUUUCAUUUUAAGUUUCCUAGCAUUGUAUCAUGUCAUUGUGUGCCUUGUUUCCUGUGAGCAGCUCUAAGAUUCUGCAAAAUAUCUCCUAUUGAGUUCCACAGUAGAAAUAAAGUCUUACAGCUUUGGAGUGACAUGAAGCACACGUCAUGCUUUGAAUUAGAACGGACUUCAAAGUACAUUUCAACACUGCUGUCACUCUAUGAAUGGUUGACCUACAGAAAACAGCCACAGCUGGUACUCAAGUGAAAGGUGCUGAGAGCAAGUUUGCACACAAAGGCAUGGGACAAAUACCUUUCCUGGGGUCUGUCACAGAGAUGUCCUCGGUUACGUUGCAGAAGGACGUGUCUUUGGCGUCUCCCAGGCUUGCAGGACUCUGAGCUGAAUUAGGCCUUAAGAGAAUUUUCACUGGACAAAGACAUUAAAUGUUCACUGGAGAAAUAUUUCCUUUGAUUACGCAAUAUAUGACUAAAGCUUUUCAAUAAUUUAACUUCUUACCAAUGAACCAAACUCCAAUGACAACACCUCCCAGCAGACACAGUACACACAGAGCUGCAAACACUCUCACCAGUUUAUGGGCCGACACUUUGCCAGACACUGAAUGAAAAAACAGCAAUAAAUGCUCAUAGGAUGACCAAAAAUCAAAUGGCAAUACUGAAAACCAUGCAUGAUUUUGUGAAGAGGAUUCAUAAUGACCCUUGCAAAUGUUUUUAAAGGAACAGAUGUCUACUCAGGUGUGUGUUAGUAACCGACUUGCCUGGAUGGAGAAACUGCAGUUCUCUGAGCCAGGUGGGAUUAUUCUGUCCCGUCUCAACCCUGUCCACCUGCAGAUGCUCUGUAUGGAAAGACUGUCUGACCACCACAGGAUUCUCAAUCACUGCCACAGCUUCUCUACUGAGACUCUGGGUUUCCUGGCGGCAGCUGCUCGGACUCUCUCUCAUCCACUCACCUCCAUCACAGAGAGAUGCUUCACACCAGCAGCUGUCUGACCAUUGAGCAGAAUGCAACUCUGGAUUUUCACUUCACAAAGAGACAAUGAGGUCAGCAGCGGAG